GGAAGUCCUACAACUACGGAAUUAAAAAAAAAAAGCAGCUACAUCCAGACCGGUAAUCUGAUCACUAGGAAUGCCCACUUCUCUGAAGAACUAGGAGUCAAAUCCUGAGUCCUGACUCAACCACUUGCUAGUGUAUGACCUGGGAAUGACCUACCGAAGAAAGUACCAUUUGAGUCUCCAUCCUCAUGCUUCUGCUGCUGUUGCUGCUGCUGUUGCUGCUGCUCCCUCAACUGCAAGGAUUCCUGACAAACAUAGAU